rnacentral:lncRNA from 1 species
AGGAAGAGAGGAUCAAGGAGGUGUUCUUCCCCAUCUCUUCUUGCAUAUUUUCUUGGGGAAACCCUAGGUAUGAUGAGAUCCUUGUUCCUCCCUGUAAUUAUGUGCUUUUGGAGGUGGUGGAUCAUGGGGAUUAAAGGAUUAGAGGUUGUAUUAGAUGUGGGGUUAGGUUUUGAUCUCGAAUUUAGUUUUCUGCAGCAUGACAGAUUCGACAGUUUCUGUUCAUACCAGUUUUCCGUGAUCUUAGUGGCCUCAAAAAAAUAAAAAAGUCUAUAUAUGAGUCGUAGAUAAUUUGUAGAUCUUUCCGUGGCCGCGAAGAACACCUCAAUCGGACAUCAGAACAGAAAGUUAUGACAGUUUGAUUAUAGCAGUUUUUCAGUCUCAUAAUUCUGUGCAGAAUCUGUUCUCUUAAGAGUUAGGCAAUUUUAUCAACAGAAUUAAACUGUGGGUUGGUAAAAGAAGUUGUAGAUAAUUUCAUAAGCUUUCCAGAUUGUUAAAGAGUGCAUUCAUAUGAUUUGUGAAACUCCAGUUAUGUUUGUUUUACUGUGGCUGUUCCUGUUUGCCUGACAAAAAUGAGUGGGUCUGUUCACUGGUGGGUUUCAUCUAGUAAAUGGCCGAAUUGGCUCUUCCAACUAUGGAGACUUUUGUAGAGGGAUAAAAGUUCUUACUUCCAGCAGAAUUUCAUAAUUUUUGGUUCAGUAGUUUGGGAGAUAUCGAAUUUUAAAGUGAACCAUACUGCUGUCUAAAACAGAUUCAGUCAGUUAUCUUGUGAGAUGUUUUAGAACUUGUAGAUGGCAGAAUUUAAUCAUCCAUUGAAUACUGAAGUUGUAGAGUAUUUUGUGUAGAUACUCCUAGAAUAUUUGUUUGAUAUCACCGCUGUUUUAAUUUUAAAGAUGCAAAAUUAACAAACAGCGCUGCUGCUGUAUGGCAUGUGGUUCAGGGUGGGAGUCUUUCCACUGGGUCUUGGUUUCAAGUGUAGGAGUGUUUUGUUGAUUGAUGGAAAAUGUUUGUGAAAUAUUUGUACUAAGUUUUAUGCCCGCUAGCAGGUGGCUACACUCUAGAUUAUGUCUAGUACAUUUCUUCUUCUUCGAUGAAGGCAAGUGAAUGUAGCGGUGGUUGCUUCCGUUCUGACCUGUUAUUUCUAUUGCCUACACUCUAAUAUUCAGAAGUAUUGGAUUCUUUCAUAAUUGGACUCUAUGGUGAUGCUUUACUUGCUUGCAUUAUACUGAUGCUCAAUCAUAUAUUGAUGAUGAUUAUGAUUCGAGUAUGAUUCAUGAGAUUAAUUCACACCCCUGAAGGUAAAUGAAGUAUUAUUUGAGGUUGAUAUUGUAUCUGAAGGUAAAUGAAGUAUUAUUUGAGGUUGGUAUUGUAUCUGAAGGUAAAUGAAGUAUUAUUUGAGGUUGGUAUUGUAUCUGAAGGUAAAUAAAGUAUUAUUUGAGGUUUGUAUUGUAUCUGAAGGAAGUGAAGGUUAUUGAUAAAUGCAGCAUGCCAUAUACAUUGCAUGACUCAUUUGCAUCUGAAGUUUUGUCGUGACCUAUGGUCCGACCGUACCGGUACAAUUUAGCAUCGUACGUUGCUCGAGGAGGGGUACGAUGCGGCUUCAUACCCUUAGGGGUAUGAAGGCAGAGGACAUAUGCAUUGCAUUCAUAUGCAUUCAUUGAAGUGAUAUUUGCAGAUGACGUGGUUUUAUACUCUCAGAGGUAUGAAGAUAGAGUACCUACACAUUGCAUUCCUAUGCAUACAUUGAAGUGAUAUUUGCAGGUAUUGUUGACGCGGGGAAGUGUUAUAGAACCUAUUGUGGUUGUUCGAGGAAAUGAGAUGAUAUUGGUUAUAUUGGGACUACUAAGUUCUAUAUCUACAAGUAUUUCUGAUCUUGAUUGUGAUUCUUUUAAAAUGUUGAUUAAUUCAAUUUGUGGUUUAAAUAUCUCGUCAGAACAAUUAGCUUGCUGAGAUGUUUCAUCUCACUCUUGCAUUACUCAAUGCAGGUGCUUGUUGCUCAUCAAGGGGAGUGGGAAGUAGCAGCACAUCCACCUUCACUCUCAUAAUAAUGCUGCCCAGACACAGUCAUGAUUUAAUUAGAAACUUCUGGUCAAAGGAUGUUUGUUUUUAACUAGUCGUGCGCACUGAUUAAUUCAGUUCAUGUUGUUAUGGUUGUCUUCCCAUUGCUAGCAGAUUAUUAAUGUCUUUUAUGUUUUCUUAUCAUGAUAUCUAUUUAUACUUUGUUGCAUCCCCGUUUAUGCAAUUUUCAAAGGAGAUGAUGUCGAAAAUUUAUAUAUGAAUGUUAGAUGUGUAGUUUAGUAGCAUUCUGGGGUGUUUGUGGAUCCCGGGGUGUUACAGUUGGUAUCAAAGCAUAGGCUUUAGAUUCUUGGCAAUUUGAAGAUAAAUUUGACACACUUGCACAUAUAGGAAGGGUAUGGGUUCAAAUAUCUUUGAUAUAUAUUAAUGUCUUUGGAAUGCAGAUGACAAUAAUUUCACCCCUCCCUAUUCCUUUACGGUGAUGUGGUAAGUCGUUUAUGACUUAAUGCCUAAUAAUUUAUCUCUAAAUCUUUAUAUUGUUUUAUUAAUGCGAUUGAUAUCGCUGGUCUUUUGAGAGAUUGAAGUUGUUAUUAUGCUUGUGAUAUACAAGUAUGUCUAUGUUGUUUACACCAUGUUUUUCAAGGUUGAGUUUUAUUACAAUAAUAUUGUUAUAUAUGCUUGAUUGAGGAUGUUUCUAAGAGGAGUGUGAAUUGCGUGUUUUGGGUUACAAGGUAACCAUCAAUUUGAAUUUAAGUUGUUGAGCGGUUGGUGGAUAGUUCCAACUAUCUUUGCAAAGAAUGAUUGUUUAUGUCGAGAAACCAGUUCUGAAAGAAAUGAAUGUUGGUACUUUUAUAUGAAUUUUGGGGGAAGUCUUUACCUAGCUAGAAUGGCUUACAUGUCUCUCUUCUAUUGUGUGUUUUAGUAGCCACAAAGCCUAGAUGUGGUUUAAAGUGGUUGCAUGUUAGUCAUGCUAGUUGUAGAAUAAACCUUUGAUUUUCUGGAUCCAUUGAUUAUGUAUUAAUAUAUGGAGGAUCAGAUGGUUCUCUCUCCGAUGCAUGCUUGUGGAGCCAUUGCUGGACCACCUAUCUAUUGGUUUGAAUGAAGCCAGUGCCUAGCCUAGAGUUUGUUGUGUGUGGUUAGUCACCUAUUCGUAAAUGAUGUGGUUUUUACAUCAGCUUGAGAUGUUUGUCAAAUGUGUGAAGGAUUACGGGGUUAUUAUUGACCUUGUAUGUUAUGUACUUUGAGUGCAUCGUAUGAUAGAAUGAAAUGUAAGUUUAUGAACUACAGUAGAUGAAGACUUAUAUUAUGUGUAGGUUAACCUUACUAGUUCGGAUAUUUUUCUUAGUUGAGUUGUUGGAUGAAGUAUAGUGACAAUGGUUACCAAGUAUUGUGUUGUUGUGCUGUCAAUGCUCUUUGUGGAGCUUUUGGCAUUUCUUCGAUGAAAUGUGUCGCGCAGAAUAUUAUUGGCUUCUUGUUGGCUUUAUUGCUCCAUUGGUUCUGUGGAUUUUCUCCCUUUUGUGGGGUGCAAAGAAUGUUAGAUUACAUGAUUAUCUUUUCAUGAUGGCAAGAAUAAGGUUUAGGAAGAUUAGGAUUUUUGUUUCAAUAGAACUACUUGUUUCAUGGUGCUUUAAGGUGAGGUGUUUGAUCUUCUUAUACAUUCGUCGGGUGUAGAUGUUUCACCAUUUAAUUAAAAUUAAUUGUUGAAGUUGGUAAGGGUUGCGCUUGGUGCAUAUUACCCCUUCAUAAAAGAGUGUUGUCUUAAGACAUUGAUGUUGAUGUAUAGCUGCAUCCAAAUUUGAUGGUGUGAAAUUGUAGUGUUGAUUGCAACUAUGAAUUGCUUUGAGCUUCAUUGCAUGUUGUUUCAUGCUUGAUGUCAGGUCGUGUAGUUUCCUUAGACAAUUAGUCCAAGGUAGAAGUUCUUCUAGUAAUUAAGACCAAUAAUGGACCCAUGUUUUGAAUGGUGGUGCUAUAUGGGUACCUUGGGUGUUUUGCUUGGAGUGGCCGAAUUCGAGGUCGAAUUCUUUUUAAGGGGGGUAGAGUGUAAUAUCCCAAAAAAAUGUUGACCAAAAGUUAAUGUUUGGUGCGUGGAUGAGGUAAAGGGUUGUGGGCCAUUGGAUGCAAAGAUAGAAGUCAUCUGAGGCGUCGUUUCUUUCUCCCACAAAAAACCCUAGGUGGCCACCCCUUUUUUUCCCUUCACCCCCCCUCUUGGCCGCCACCCCCUUUCUCCCCCUUGGCUGGCCGCCCCCUCCCCCUAUGGCAGCCACCCUCCAUUGCUUCCUCCCCCAAGAUCUCCCCCUACGCAGCAAGGAUCGAGAAGAGGAGGAGCACGUUGAAUUGAAGAGGAAGAGAGGAUCAAGGAGGUGUUCUUCCCCAUCUCUUCUUGCAUAUUUUCUUGGGGAAACCCUAGGUAUGAUGAGAUCCUUGUUCCUCCCUGUAAUUAUGUGCUUUUGGAGGUGGUGGAUCAUGGGGAUUAAAGGAUUAGAGGUUGUAUUAGAUGUGGGGUUAGGUUUUGAUCUCGAAUUUAGUUUUCUGCAGCAUGACAGAUUCGACAGUUUCUGUUCAUACCAGUUUUCCGUGAUCUUAGUGGCCUCAAAAAAAUAAAAAAGUCUAUAUAUGAGUCGUAGAUAAUUUGUAGAUCUUUCCGUGGCCACGAAGAACACCUCAAUCGGACAUCAGAACAGAAAGUUAUGACAGUUUGAUUAUAGCAGUUUUUCAGUCUCAUAAUUCUGUGCAGAAUCUGUUCUCUUAAGAGUUAGGCAAUUUUAUCAACAGAAUUAAACUGUGGGUUGGUAAAAGAAGUUGUAUAUAAUUUCAUAAGCUUUCCAGAUUGUUAAAGAGUGCAUUCAUAUGAUUUGUGAAACUCCAGUUAUGUUUGUUUUACUGUGGCUGUUCCUGUUUGCCUGACAAAAAUGAGUGGGUCUGUUCACUGGUGGGUUUCAUCUAGUAAAUGGCCGAAUUGGCUCUUCCAACUAUGGAGACUUUUGUAGAGGGAUAAAAGUUCUUACUUCCAGCAGAAUUUCAUAAUUUUUGGUUCAGUAGUUUGGGAGAUAUCGAAUUUUAAAGUGAACCAUACUGCUGUCUAAAACAGAUUCAGUCAGUUAUCUUGUGAGAUGUUUUAGAACUUGUAGAUGGCAGAAUUUAAUCAUCCAUUGAAUACUGAAGUUGUAGAGUAUUUUGUGUAGAUACUCCUAGAAUAUUUGUUUGAUAUCACCGCUGUUUUAAUUUUAAAGAUGCAAAAUUAACAAACAGCGCUGCUGCUGUAUGGCAUGUGGUUCAGGGUGGGAGUCUUUCCACUGGGUCUUGGUUUCAAGUGUAGGAGUGUUUUGUUGAUUGAUGGAAAAUGUUUGUGAAAUAUUUGUACUAAGUUUUAUGCCCGCUAGCAGGUGGCUACACUCUAGAUUAUGUCUAGUACAUUUCUUCUUCUUCGAUGAAGGCAAGUGAAUGUAGCGGUGGUUGCUUCCGUUCUGACCUGUUAUUUCUAUUUCCUACACUCUAAUAUUCAGAAGUAUUAGAUUCUUUCAUAAUUGGACUCUAUGGUGAUGCUUUACUUGCUUGCAUUAUACUGAUGCUCAAUCAUAUAUUGAUGAUGAUUAUGAUUCGAGUAUGAUUCAUGAGAUUAAUUCACACCCCUGAAGGUAAAUGAAGUAUUAUUUGAGGUUGAUAUUGUAUCUGAAGGUAAAUGAAGUAUUAUUUGAGGUUGGUAUUGUAUCUGAAGGUAAAUGAAGUAUUAUUUGAGGUUGGUAUUGUAUCUGAAGGUAAAUAAAGUAUUAUUUGAGGUUUGUAUUGUAUCUGAAGGAAGUGAAGGUUAUUGAUAAAUGCAGCAUGCCAUAUACAUUGCAUGACUCAUUUGCAUCUGAAGUUUUGUCGUGACCUAUGGUCCGACCGUACCGGUACAAUUUAGCAUCGUACGUUGCUCGAGGAGGGGUACGAUGCGGCUUCAUACCCUUAGAGGUAUGAAGGCAGAGGACAUAUGCAUUGCAUUCAUAUGCAUUCAUUGAAGUGAUAUUUGCAGAUGACGUGGUUUUAUACUCUCAGAGGUAUGAAGAUAGAGUACCUACACAUUGCAUUCCUAUGCAUACAUUGAAGUGAUAUUUGCAGGUAUUGUUGACGCGGGGAAGUGUUAUAGAACCUAUUGUGGUUGUUCGAGGAAAUGAGAUGAUAUUGGUUAUAUUGGGACUACUAAGUUCUAUAUCUACAAGUAUUUCUGAUCUUGAUUGUGAUUCUUUUAAAAUGUUGAUUAAUUCAAUUUGUGGUUUAAAUAUCUCGUCAGAACAAUUAGCUUGCUGAGAUGUUUCAUCUCACUCUUGCAUUACUCAAUGCAGGUGCUUUUUGCUCAUCAAGGGGAGUGGGAAGUAGCAGCACAUCCACCUUCACUCUCAUAAUAAUGCUGCCCAGACACAGUCAUGAUUUAAUUAGAAACUUCUGGUCAAAGGAUGUUUGUUUUAACUAGUCGUGCGCACUGAUUAAUUCAGUUCAUGUUGUUAUGGUUGUCUUCCCAUUGCUAGCAGAUUAUUAAUGUCUUUUAUGUUUUCUUAUCAUGAUAUCUAUUUAUACUUUGUUGCAUCCCCGUUUAUGCAAUUUUCAAAGGAG